rnacentral:rRNA from 1 species
AACAAACGCUGGCGGCGUGCCUAAUACAUGCAAGUCGAACGGGGUAGCAAUACCUAGUGGCGCACGGGUGAGGAACGCGUGGAUAAUCUGCCUUAGAGUGGGGGAUAACUAGUCGAAAGAUUAGCUAAUACCGCAUAAGACCACAGGAGCUGCGGCUCUAGGGGUCAAAGGUUUUUCGCUCUAAGAUGAGUCCGCGUAAGAUUAGCUAGUUGGUGAGGUAACGGCUCACCAAGGCGACGAUCUUUAACUGGUCUGAGAGGAUGAUCAGUCACACUGGAACUGAGACACGGUCCAGAAUCCUACGGGAGGCGGCAGUAGGGAAUAUUGCACAAUUGAAGAAACUCUGAUGCAGCGACGCCGCGUGGGUGAUGAAGGCCUUCGGGUCGUAAAGCUCUGUCGCAGGGGAAUAACACAAUGAAUGUACCCUGUAAGAAAGGAUCGGCUAACUUCGUGCCAGCCGCCGCAGUAACAC